ACAUUUCUAUUUGGACAUAAAAAAUUUGAAUUUUCUGACAUUUAUACGUGUAUUCAGCGUCUGUGUGAACAAAAAAUGUUCUCUCUCUCAUUCUAUGGUCCUUGAGCUUUAAUAACAGGGACAUUUUUUAAAUUGGUAGCAUUAGAAAAUGACAGUAAACAGCUGACUGAUGUAAACAAUAACACAAUAACAAAGGAAAUGUUAUAAUUUUAAUCUAUAUAACCAGUGGCUGCUUUAAAAGUAGAAACAUUACUUGUCAUAUAACAACUACUCAGAUUAUAUGAUGAGACGGGAAUGGCACAAUACAGAAUUGCAGUCAGUGAUUGUGAUGGAGAAAGCUGCUGUGAAGUACUGACAGUACUGACUAUCGCUGGUUGUACGAUUUGUGCAAUUUGUGAUAUAUUUUGUGUGAAAAACUGGAAAAGAAAGUGCAUCACUGCAUAACCUCACUUAUCGCAGUUUUGCACAUUUUGAUGAUGGGAAUUGCGGUUCAAGUAAUUAUGAGUUAUAGAUGGAGAGCCCUGUUUACUUCAAACUGAAGCCUUUUGGGUCCACUUUGUUCGUUAUUUCCUGGCAGCCACUCUUGUUUCAAGCAGAGUGGGUGUAAAGUUAAAAAUAAUCCCGUAAAAUUGUUAAUAUAACUCCUUUGCACUGCCAUGGGGUAUUUGAAAACUUACGUUUAACAAAUACGUCACAAAGUCUCAGCCAUCGUCGAAAAACAUAAUAAGGGCUUUAUAACAAGAAGCGCUUUCUGAUUUUACUGUGUUUUACAUUUUUGUACGUCUCUAUCUGAGAGUAGUUUCUUGUAUAAAAAAUAUAGCCUACUAAUAAAGGAAAUUAAAGUGUUUUUAUUUCUGGGUUGCCCCCAAUUCCACUUCGCCCUUGCCUGAUAAUCAAGACACUGAUAAUGAAAUUGGUGUAAGUGCAUCGAAUACAAACGUGUUGAAUAGAUGAAUAAAAGAGAGACAACUGCUUUUUUCAAAAAGGCCAUUUCAAAUUUAUUCAAAAAGCACACCCCCAUUGAAAAGGGUCCAUUCACGAUGAAGUUUGGCUUCCUGCAUGACGUAGGUCUCGGACACCAAUCUCGCUGUAAAUGGUCUAAAUUGGUCUUGCAUCUCUAAGACAUGGACUCACUGAGAGCGACUUCUGCAGUAGGCUUGAGACCUGCCUGCCUGUCUCGCAACAAUCUCUGCAUUAUGAUUCCAAAUCAUUCUAUAAAACGCUGUCAAUUAC